AGGGUUUGAUCCUGGCUCAGAACGUACGCUGGCGGCACGCCUAAUACAUGCAAGUCGAACGAAGUAGCAAUACUUAGUGGCGAACGGGUGAGUAUAAUGUGGGUAUCUGCCUUUUGGUGAGGAAUAACACGGGGAAACUUGUGCUAAUACCUCAUAAGCCUUCACAGGGAAAGUUUUAACGCCAAAAGAUGAGCCCGCACUUGAUUAGCUAGUUGGUAAGGUAAUGGCUUACCAAGGCUACGAUCAAUAGCUGAUCUGAGAGGAUGAUCAGCCACAUUGGGACUGAGACACGGCCCAAACUCCUACGGGAGGCAGCAGUAGGGAAUCUUGCACAAUGGGGGAAACCCUGAUGCAGCGAUGCCGCGUGAGUGAAGAAGGCCUUUGGGUUGUAAAGCUCUUUCGUCGGGGAAGAAAAUGACUGUACCCGAAUAAGAAGGUCCGGCUAACUUCGUGCCAGCAGCCGCGGUAAUACGAAGGGACCUAGCGUAGUUCGGAAUUACUGGGCUUAAAGAGCUCGUAGGUGGUUAGAGAAGUUGGUGGUGAAAUCCCAAGGCUUAACCUUGGAACUGCCAUCAAAACUUUUUGACUAGAGUGUGAUAGAGGAAAGUGGAAUUUCUAGUGUAGAGGUGAAAUUCGUAGAUAUUAGAAAGAACACCGAUUGCGAAGGCAGCUUUCUGGAUCAUUACUGACACUGA
rnacentral:rRNA from 1 species